CUGGAAGAAACAGGAACUCACUCUCUUGUGUGGAGACACUAAGAAGAAAGGACAGGUCUGCACUUGGCAGUCAUGCCAACUGACACCCAAGGAUAGAAUGAAGGCUGGGCUUUUGUGCCUUUGAUCCAUCAAAUGUGCUUUUGAAGAAGAUUGGCUGGUGUCUGGGAAAGAGUACAGGAUCCCAGAGCCCAAAUGGCAGAGGCUCAGAAGGGAAGGGGAUCCCAGGGAAGAGUCUAAGAAGCCUUGGAAGCAGACUCCCAGGUCUCCUCCAGCGUGAAGGUGCAAAAGUUGGGGCUGGAGGUGUACUUCAAUGACAGAGUACUUCCUUGGACCACACAAGGCCUGGGUUUGAUCUCUGGCAUCACAAGAAGGACAGAUCAGAUCCCUGCCAAACAGCCAGCUGUGACCACAUGAACCCUCCCAAAGUACCAGGCCCUGGAGUCAGUGAAGGGCCGCCAUUGAUUUUGGCCCGUCUAAGCAUGAGCUCUGCUAAGUCAGCUGGAUAACAAAGCUUCCGCUUUUAUCUUUGACCUCCUAACCCAGUGGUAGCCUCGCUGGCCGAUCUUCCCACUUGGCCUGUCCUUUGGUCUCACUCUCCACCUGCUGUCUGCCCUGUCCAGAAACUGCCGGGUCAGCAGUCAAGCUGCCCAGCUGCCACAUUGGCCGCCUCUAUAAAACUUCCUCCUUGAGUCUUUUCAGAGGCCCAGGCCUUCACAGUGUCCCUUGCAGCUCUGCAAACAAUUUUGUCAUAUUUUUGUAAAGAGUGACAGCUAAAUCAAUAUUUUAAUCUGUUUUGUUGCCAAAAUUCGAUGAUCUGUCACAAUUCUUGCCUAGUACAGCCGAUCAUUAGUGUUUUUAAUGUUGUUUGUAGGCCUGUUCUGACUGGCUUACUAAUCCACCCUCAGAGUAGAACUUUGAUAUGUAACGUUAGCAACAUUUCAUUAUAUUUUGCCUAGUUCAGAUUCAGAGAAAUACUAUUUUAUGGUUAGUGGUGAAUCUAAUUGCAUAUGUCUUUUACAAAUGUUCUCCAAGAUUUUCCCUAUAAUUCCACUUUGGAGGACUUUUACUUAUGCCAAUCCUGAAUUAGUUUACUAACUGUGGCUUCCAAUCUACAGACUAGACAUGACUCAGUGUACCUGAUGCUCAAUACACUGCUACGGUUCCUUUAAGGUUGUGCCUAAAUUUAAUGACUGGUAAAUUUUCAUAAACCAAAUUUCUCACUUCUGUAAUUGGCAGUUUUUGUAAGUUGUAUUAAAUAAUUCUGUCAGGUUUUUUUAAGUUAUUAAAUAAAGCAAUCUUUCAAAUCA